GUGGCUAUGGUGAAGCGGUUAACACUUACGACUGUGACUCGUACAUUCGAGGGUUCGAUCCCCUCUAGCCACC
rnacentral:tRNA from 1 species